UCAUAUUCCUAUCGGCAUUGCUGUCUAGGC
rnacentral:piRNA from 1 species